UGCAUGUGGUCGCUAUUUUCCCAAGAUCUCGAAGGAAAGAAGAGCGAAAUUUGAACUCCUAGUACGAAAUGGUUGUGUCGUGCUAAAGUACAUGUAAGUGAAAGCCAUACAUAUUAGUUGUAGAGCUGUUUAAUUUAAUUCGCAUUUGUUAUUGCUUCAUUCAAUAAUCAGUAUUAAAAGCGUGCCUUGAUCUCAUGCAUACAAUUACUUAGCUGGCCAUAAGAAUUUCUGUUUGCUUUAUAUGCUUCAAUUCCUUGAUACUAUUGCCUACAUUUCCUACAAUACUGUUUUAAAGUACCAACAGUUUAAUUUGCAAUCUCAUAGUUGCCUUAUCUUCAACUGUUUUAGCUCACAAAAUUUGAUGAGAAAGUUGAUCUAAGUUGUAGAGCUGUCAAAGACACGCGCCGGUAAGCAUAUUGUCUUUAUAAAUGUUGUUUGUUGUGUGUCGCUCGGUUUUUAAGCUUCUCCUUCCAAUAAGAAGCUUUAAUUGAACUCGCGAAACUUACAAUGCUAAAUGAGAACGAAACAAAAGACAUUACAACAAAGGCGAGUUAGAUAUGGGAUCGGCGAACGGACUCGAAGUCCCAACAAGGCAACUACCCCGCACAUAAAUUAUAACUAGAAAUUUACACUAAUAAGAAAACACAAAACUUCAAUAAAUGUUCUCUAAUACCACUGAACAGACAGCCCAGUCUCUCGCUCAGGUUGACUGCACAUACCAACGGCCACUUGAAACAAAUAAUUGAUGGAAAAUAUUUCGGAAAAUAAUCUUAACCCAUGCGCUAUAGUACUAACCCUAAUUCUGGUUUUAAGAUAAGGAUGCAUAUUGUACAGUCAAUCUGAGGAAGAGACCGGGAUGGUACAGUGUAGCAUUCUCCUCAGUAACACACCUUCGCUGCUUAUUAACUAACAACAGGAAGGGCUGCCAAUAGACCUACAAGAAGGACAUAUUGUCUUCCACGUACUUAAUCUGUCCGUAUCAAAAACGUUCCGUAACUUUAUAAAAUAAUGUUUAUAUAAACGAGAUUUAAACGCACUAAUGGAAGAUGAUUUGCGAAUUUCAAGUGGUAGAUUAUUCCAAAGCUUUACAACAUGAUUGAAGGAGUCUAUAAAUAAUGAAGUACGGAGACGGUGUACUGGAUACAGAUUUAAACUAUCAGUAGAGCUCCUGGUGCGACCACUUGAGACAUGCCGUAAUCUUCAAGCUGUACAUUAAAUGAACCGCUCAUAUACUUGUAAACACAGCAUAAGUCACGACACUCCAACCAGUAGGAAAUAGGAAGCAGCUGGUUGAGAGUAAUCAAGCGGGACUUGUAGUUGGGUCGGACAUGAUGAUCGUUGCUGCAGUUGAGGUGAAACGCGUAGCUCGCCUCUGCACAGUCUCCAAUAGUUUUAAGUCCGUUCUGCAUGACUGAGGAGCCCAGAUUUCGCUAGCAGAACUGAGGUGGGAGCGCACCAGUGAUUAGUACAUCGACCUUCUGUGGGCAGGCCCAGUUAAGGAAACGCCGAAGUGUCGUCGUAGGAAGCCAAGUGUCUAGUUUGCUUUGGCAACAACAGAAGAAAUUUGGAGGUCCCGCGUUAGCUUGUUGUUAACUAAGACCCCCAAGUCUUUUGAUGAGGGAACGACAGCGAGUGGCUGGUCAUUGAUGGUGUAGGGAUUGACGGUAGGGGAUUCCAGCAUACUACUUCGCUUUCUAGAUAUUCUUAAUACUUCGCAUUUGUUCUUGUUAAAAUAAAGUCCCCAAUCUUGAGACCAUAUGGAACGAUAACACUUUGUGGAAUUGUUGAAGUUCACAGGGCAUUUUGAGUUAGUUUUAGUGAUUUAAUCGAGUUUCCAACGGAAUUUUCCCACCGAAAGGCGAAUACGAGCGAGAAUCCACAUCAUACACAUCUUUUAAAAGGCUCAAUUAAGUUUAAGACGUUUUAAUUAACUAAAUGAUUGUGCUGGAGUCAGCAAUUAAGACCGAGCAUUCAAGAUUUACUGAUUAACGAGCAUUUUGUCUUUUUAGUUUACUGUUGAUUUUGAAAUGAAAAGUUGAUACGAAUUAUAUGAAGCCCUUUUAAAUGCUUUGAGUUUGUCAAACUUGAGUUGUACAGUAGUACUAAGUAUAAGAUUACAUUUGUACUGUUCCUAUAAUUAGACAUCUCUGAGUUAAUUGCAUUUUGGAUGCAACAAACGCUCGUGAGUUCGUCAAAUCGAUUGAAUUUUAUACACAUUAAUAAAGGAGCUGGGCGGAUAGGGACAAAGCCUAUAAUACGGACAAAUAUCAGUCAAGUCAGACCCUCUAAUCACUAACCGAAGUUUCUUAUAGACGUUUUGGAUAUCGUUGUGCAGUUUUGUCAGCUUCCUGACAAUGACAAUGACACUUACAGUUCCUUUCCUAUAUUUUACAGAUUAUUCAAAAUGCUUCGGUUACAAUUAAGAUGACCAUUCAUAUAUUACAUCUGACGGCGAGAUAUUCAGAACAACAAACCAAAAAAGCUGAUCAAUGAAGCAUGCAGUUACUAGGUUCAGAAGAUAGAAAUGGACAUCUGCUUAGGAAAAAAACAAUUGGAGUAAUUGUAUGACAGCAUUGACGUGGAAACCAUAAGAUACUCAGAACAACAGAAGAAGGGAGAUCAAUGAACGAGUAUAAGAUCAGAGCAUGGAUGUGGACAUACGUUUAGAAUGGAAAAUGACAAUAAUUGUGUAACACCAAUGACGUGAAAACGAGAAGGGCGAAGGAACGUGCAACGUCAAAGAACUACACGGAAAAAAACUGUAGAGAAAGAAAAUGGUUGGAGAUCUUGAAACAAAGCCAAACGUGUAGCCAGAUCGAACAGCGGGAGCUGUAGAAAUGUACCGCAGCGUAAUGGACAACGCAGCCGAAGAAGAUAGGUAAGACGUCCUAAUUAAGUCCAGUUUCUUAGUAAUAAUACUUGCAUGGCGUAUAAAGAAGGUUAUCCAAUUUGUAGUGCUU
rnacentral:lncRNA from 1 species